rnacentral:rRNA from 1 species
GAUGAACGCUAGCGGCAGGCCUAAUACAUGCAAGUCGGACGGGAUUCAGGAGCUUGCUUCUGAUGAGAGUGGCGCACGGGUGCGUAACACGUAUGUAACCUACCUUUAUCAGGGGGAUAGCCUCUCGAAAGAGAGAUUAAGCCCGCAUAAAAUCACAGCACAGCAUUGUGUAAUGAUCAAAUAUUUAUAGGAUAAAGAUGGGCAUGCGGAACAUUAGCUAGAUGGCGGGGUAACGGCCCACCAUGGCGACGAUGUUUAGGGGAUCUGAGAGGAUGGCCCCCCACACUGGUACGGAGACACGGACCAGACUCCUACGGGAGGCAGCAGUAAGGAAUAUUGAUCAAUGGGCGGAAGCCUGAACCAGCCAUGCCGCGUGCAGGAAGACGGCCCUACGGGUUGUAAACUGCUUUUAUACGGGAAUAAACCCAGAUACGUGUAUCUGGCUGAAUGUACUGUAAGAAUAAGGAUCGGCUAACUCCGUG